rnacentral:lncRNA from 1 species
CCAGUUUCAGGUAUGUCUUUAUCAGCAGCCUGAAAACAGACUAAUACACCUCCCCACAGCUGACUUAGUGCUCUGCCAGUGGGUUACAGUUUUCCAGAAGGAGCUGCAGUCAAGGACUCAGGCCGCCUAGGGCAGCCACCCAUUCCUCACCCAAACACCUCCAUUCAAGGCCUCCUUAUCUUAUGACCAAGAUACUUUCAUCCACUCUGACCCAGUACUUUUCUAGUCCUAGACUUCCCCUACUCCCUUCUGUCAGUCCCCUGGACCAUAAAAUGUCAGGAGUCAUUUGUUCAGGGCUCUUUGGUAGUGAGAUGAUUUUCCCUGUCUGAGCUGAUUCAUCUGACCCUUGCCUACUGCCAUUCCCUGGGGAAAAAAUGGAAUGUUAGGAAGCUGGUGCUUAUUUUUGCCUCUUGUUUACACUAUUUCUGUAAGUGAUUAAGGCUUGAUUGUUAACUUUCAGUUUGGCUUAUUGUUCUGACUGACCACCUAAUCCUGGCCACUGGACAGAAAUUAAGAGCAAAGAAAGUGAUAACCGUUUUAAACAAACAUAGAAUAAAUAAAAACCACAAUAAUAAGGUGGUAUUUGAAAAGAAAACAAGAUGGAAAGAAUAUAUUUCACUGGAAUAGCAUGUGAAUAAGACGUGAAGUUACUGGAAUUAGUGUUCUAAGGUCCUUUUGAAACUGCCUUUGCAAAAUUAUAACAGUAAGAAAAAUCUGACCUAGUUGACUCCAUCUUACUUCUAACCCCAAGCUGUCCUUGGUCAUUCCUGGACAUAGGCCAAGAUAACUUUGAGAGGAAUUUAGUUUACAGUUUAACUUAGAAGCAAGAAUGAUAAUAGUCCCUCCCUGAAACUAACCCUCUCCCUGUUCAAUGGCUGAAACUGCCUUUGUAAGACUAAUGAAAGGCCACAAGAUUAGGAUUAUGGGAGAGGCCCAAGUUCUGCUAAAAUGUAGGCAUAGUUUCUAUAAUUUCUUACUGCUCAGGAGUCAUGUGGCCAGAGGUCCCAAGAUUUAUAACUUCCCCAAUUGCUUCUAUAGGUAUCACUGUUGUAGAACCUAAGACUGGGGAGUUUUUUUUUUUUUAGAUGUUUUUCAGACUGAUCCCAUCUGGACUCAUGACUCAGCUGGUCCUGUGGCUCUGCCCACAGGUGGCCUCACUGCACAAGGACAGUCUUCCAGUGAUGUGAUGGCAUUCCCAACCAAUCAGCUGCACCCAUUCCCUAGUCCCCUGCCCACAAAACUGUCCAUAAAAACCCUAACCUCUGACCCUUCAGGGAGACUGAUUUGAGUGAUAACUCCAGUUCUUCUGCAUAGCUGGCCUCAUGUCAGUUAAACUCUUUCUUUACUGCAAUGCCAUGGUCUCAGGCAAUUGAUUUUGUCUGUGCAGUGGGCAGAAAGAAUAAAUUUAGGAGCUCAUAUGGGAUCCACCCUUGUGGGUGCCUGCUUGCAGUUCAUUGGUUCCCCACAGGUCCGACUGACCUGGAGGUGAGCUCUGACGGCCACUUAUUUCUCCAGAACUGAGGGUCUCUGCUGAUGUCCCUCUGCAGCUGUCCUGCCAGUGAGGCACUGUUGACCCAUCGUGCCUGGGCCUAACUGUCAUGUAGAAAUAGUUUCUGGAAGUCAUCUUUAAACUGGUCUGGGGAGUUCCCUUACACAAGCUCUCUCGCCUGCCGCCACGCAAGACAUGACUCUUUGCUCCUCAUUCGCCUUCAGCCAUGAUUGUGAGGCCUUCCCAGCCAUGUGAAACUCUCGGGAGCCCUCUUGUCUGGAAAGGCUCUUCCCUGCUGGUGCCUCCAGGCUGGGCUGGUUGUUGCUCCUCUAUGCUCCCGAGGUCCUCAGUGCCUGCCUUUAUCAGAACAGAGGCCACAGCGCACCUUGGUUAAAUGUACAGUCUCUGGGACCAGACUGCCUGGACUCACAACUCUGGCUCCGCCAUUUACAGGCUAAGACAUCCUCAAGUCUAAGGACCUUGGUGUUUUCAUCCCAGAGCCCCACACCUUGCAAGUGUCCAGAGCAUAGUCAUUGGAUGAUGCUGUUUCCCACUUACCCUCUGGUUUGACAUGGCUGCAGGAUUGGCAUAUGGAAACUGACUGGGUUGAGAAGAGACUCAAAUAGGGACAGACUGGAGAUGUAGGCUUAGAAAGGAGAGAUUUCCUGAAGCUUUAAUGCUGUGCAAUAGAAAUAUACAGCAUCAACUUCCUUAUACAACUAGGCGGGUCAGCAGGUCACCUGUGGCGGACCCAGGGAGGAUGUCCUCACACCGAACAGGUGAGCUUGGCUCGGAGCAUGGCCAGGAGCCAGCCCAUAGCCACAUGCCACCACUUUCUGGCCUUCACUGUGUUUGCCUUAGUGUCCUCGUCUGUAAAACAGGACUAAUGGCAUCUACCUCACAAGGCUGAUGUUAGAACUUUGUGAGGAAACAGUUUUCAAAAGCUUAGAACAGUGUCUGGCAUGUCCUCAAUUGGCAAGAAAUGUCAGCUCCUCUUGGUGUGAUGAUCACCAAACCCACUUUUUUUUACAAACAGAGUGGGGAGACACCACGUCAUUUUCAUUCUUGUUUCAGGAUCUUGGGAAUUUCUGUUUGUCCAUUUAUGCAUUUGUUUUUGUCUUUAUUUAUUUAUUUAGAGUUCUGGUGGAGAUAAUUUGUUAGCAGGUUUUCUGUUGGAAGGUGCAAGCCUUCUUCCCUAGCCUCAAUAAGUGUGUCCCUGUAGGCAGAGGGGGGCAAUAUAGCUUCUCAAUCUUCGAAGACUUCCUAAGGACAACAUCACUCUCAGGUUGGAAAUUCUCCGAAAUCCCAGCUUCCAGCAACCCACAGUCAAGUAUUCCUAGGGAUAUGAGAGGGUUUUGUUCGCAGUCACAGAACACGUAUAAAUGGGGAUAAACUCAAAUGGUUUGUUGUUUUGGUUAAAGUCAAUAAAAGGGAAGAAGAACAAGGAAAUCAAAUACGGGUCCAGUGGGACCAUCCUCAGUGUAAUAACAGCCUUUCCCAUUAGCUUUCUAAGCAACUUUUAGGCUGCUGAUUUGCCGCAGAAAGACUUUUUAAAAAUGCUUUAGUUUCAUACAUGGAAAGAAGCCCUCAGGGUGAAUUGCUGGCUGCCCUACAUUAGAGGCCUAGCAGUAAGAACCAUUAGCUCUAAAGAGAGGUUAAUUACGAGGAGAACUCCCUGGCCUAAGCUGAGGGAGUUACAGUGAUUCCCAGUGAGAGGCUAAUCAGGAGGCAGCGUUGGGUGGCAACAGCCCUCUCCUGGACAAGGGCUUAAUGGGAGUGUCUAAUACCAUUUGCAGUGUUUGGGUUUAUGUGGGGACCAGGGGUCCUUUUGUGUUUGGGUUCAUUAGCUUCAGGGAUUAUUGCCUAUGGGGAUUCACUAACAAGUAGCAGGGGAAGGCGGGAAGAGGCAAGAUGAGCUGGAGAGAUUCAGCAAGACCUCUUAUUCUAUAAAAUUAAGAUCUUGAUGAAACCCCAGACUUUGUCCAGGGCUGGCUCCUUGGUCUAUCUGGAUUGGCAAAUAGGUGUAGACAACAUAUUACAGGAUCUUACACCCCAUGUCAUCUAUUCCAGAUGAUUCUGCAAUCAGCUGUGCCUUAAAACAUGUUCAUGAAAGCUACUCUUGAUUUCCAAGAAACUGCAUGAGAUUUCGUUUAGAAGCCCUUGAAAACAAAGUUUGUAUUUUGUCAAGAAAAGUUUGUUUAGAGCCAGCAACACAAUUUCCAACCCAUUCACCACCCUCCACCAACAUUCUGAGGGCAAAUAGGAAUCCAGGAUGUGCAAAAUUUAGGAACUUUUCUCCAAAAGAGAAAAGUUUUCUCCAAAAGAGACAAAAUAUAUAUAAGCAUCAGAUUCCACAGUUACUAACUGAGCACCUACUAUGUGCUUGACACUGUGCAGAGUACUUUGCUUUGCUCCACGAUUCCCACAAUGCUCAUUACUCCACGGGACAGGGGUAUGGUUAUCAGUUCUGCAGAUGGUGAGACUGAGGCCUACAGACUCACAAAAGGCCACACAAUGAGAGCAGAGCCAGCCUCUGUCUUCCAGUCCUUUAACUUUGGUCAUUUUUCCUGUCCUCUGCCCUGCCUCAACAGAAUAACCCAAAUAGUUACCUGUAAUGGAAAUUAGAACCAUUGUAACAAGUAUUCACAAGUAUUUAGCUUAAGGGAAGAAAUGUUAAAAUGUCUCUCCCUGUGGGUUACUGAGUGUGACACCCCCUGACCUCACCCACCCUCUACAAGUGGGGGCCAGGAGCCCUGUUGUGUGUUGUUGUUGUUUGUCUUCCCAACUUUGGAGUGAAUAAGUAUGCAGAUAAACCCUGUGACAAAUAUCAGGUAAAUCUGAAGUGGCUGUGUGUGUUGACAUUUCAUUUUUAUUAUGUUUUCAAUAUCUGCGAAAAUUUUCAAUAAAUAAAUUUUUCUUAUGACACCUUCAAAUUGAAUUAUAUUUUAAGAAUAUCUACUUCGCUGUGCUGGCACUGGAUGAAAUUCUACCAUUUUGAACUUCUGCUCUUCAUGCCCAUGUGACAAUUAAGGUAAUUAUAUAACAUCUUACUGAAUGAUGAUCUUGUCACAGGUUAAUAAAAAUUAAUGUAUUUCUAUUCUUCACUCUUUAGUUUCUUAUCAACAUUCAGCUUAAGCAUUUUUAGCUUUUAAAUAUUGUACAUUUGGCAAUGUCUAUAAGACAUUUCCACUUGAGUUCAGCCAAGGCGGUAUGCAAAUGAGGAGCUGACACUGUUCUGUAAGUCAGCAGAAUGCGGUGGGUAACAGUCUGGUUUCUGGAGCCAGCUUGCCUGAGUUUGGUUCCUGGUAUACCAUCAUUUCUGCUGUUGAUCUUGGGCAAGUUACUGCACCCAGCUCCAUCUUAUGUUCUCUGUAAAAAUAAGAUUAAACAUGCCCCUGCCCCACUUGGUUCCUGUAAAACCAUUAUUUAUGGAAAGUGUUUAGAACGAUGCCUGGAAUAUAGUAACUCUAUAUAACUAAUUGCUGUUAUUAUCAUUAUGUAGGAAAAACAAUGAAUAAGACCUAAAAAAUUUGGAAGGCAGCUACUGGGACAUCAGGAAUCAGGACUUGUGUAUGCUGGGCCUCACCACCAUGACCUUCCAGAACUGAAGAACUUGCAGUACUAAAGCACUUAAUGAUUACCUUAGUCCAUCUGUGCUGCCAUCACAAAAUGCCACAGAUGGAGUAAUUGAUCAAGAACACAACUUUAUUUCUUGCAGUUCUGGAGGCUAGGGAAUCCAAAACCAAGCUUCCUGGCAUUGGCGUCUAGUGAGGGCUGCCCUCUGCUUUCAAGGCGGCGCCUUGUUGCUGUGUCUUCACAUAGCAGAUGGAAGGGCAAGAGGGCUGAACACUGUAUGAAGCCUCUUUUAUAAGGGCCCUAAUCUGAUUCAUUAGAUCUCCACUCUCAUGACUUAAUCACCUCCUAAAGGCCCCCUCUUAACACUGUCACAUUGGUGAUUAAGUUUCAACAUAUGAAUUUUGGAGGGGACACAAACAUUCAAGCCAUAGCAGUGAUAUAGUCAUGACUCUUCUCCCCUAACUCACCUCUCAGGCCUGUAAUGUUCAUGCUUUUUUCAGUCUAUUAAAUAAAUCAGCUCGUAGUUCACAAAAUAUAGGCAAACAAUCUUAAGAUGUGAAAGUAUAAAUAAGUAGCCACUUAGCAAAAAGUUUGAUUCUCGUAGGCAGAAUUUAUGGGAUGUGUUAAGCAUAAGAUAAGCAGAUAGCAAGUAGAACGUGUGUGUUAUACCGAGAUUGAGUAGGAUGAAAGGACCGAGAAAUAGCUAAUAUUUAUGAUGCAGUUGAGUAUUAAAUAUUUGUAACGUACUAGAUAGACAUUUAGACAUAAGGCUAAACACCAAGAGGUACCAAAUAGACAUGAGCAUUUUAUAUACAUGAUCUCCUAAUUUGGCAACCUAUUGGCUAUAUCUUUCUGGUCCAAUGUGUCCUCUGCCUCCAAAAACAAAUAGAACUUAUGGCUGCUCAUCUUGCUAACUGGCAAGCUAUAGCUGUCACCAGGCAUACUUGUCCUUAUAUCUCUAGUAGAACAGGGAUGUGAUAUCAACCCAGCAAAUCCAUCCCUAUCUAUCUAUAUCAGGGAUUCCCAAGGCCACCCUCAUAUUCAAUGAUUUUCUGGAAGGACUCACAAAAAUCAGAAAAGCAGUUAUACUCAUGAUUACAGUUGAUUAUAGCAAAGGCUAUAGAUGAAACUUGGCAAAGGAAAAUACGCAAAGGGUGGAGUCCAGGAAAGACAAAGUCCAAGCUUCUAGUUGUCCUCUCCCAAUGGGGUUGUAUGAACAACACUUAAUUCUCCCAGAAAUGAUGUGUGAUACUACAUACAAAGUACUGCCAACCAGGAAGUUUAACCAUGCUUUAAACUUGGUGUCCUGGGUUCUUACUGGAGUUUAGCCACAUAGGCAUAGAGUGCCCAUGUAGCUUAUCUUAGCUACUCAAACCCUAGGCCCCCGCUGCCCCCUAGAGGUCAAACUGAUAGCAUAUGGCCCAAGUCUACCACCUAAAUCACAUUUUUAGCAUAAACUAUCUGGUAUGGCCCAGGGCACUGGGCAAACGGUAGCACUCUUAUCAGUAAGGAUAUUCCAAAGGCUCAGGAAUUAUCUCCCUGAACUAGUCCAAGGGCCAGUCCUUUCUUUGGGAUGUACAGGUUUGAACACCCCAGACCCACUGAGUUAACCCUUUCCUGCACAGUGGGGUCCUUCCACUCCACUUGUGUCUGAUCCUAAGUGCAUUAACUUACCCCGUCUCUCUCCUCUUGCGUCUCACUUUGUGUUUUAAAUUGACUUAAUAACUUUGCUAUUUGCAAAUUUUAAUCUGCCUUUUAAUGAGCCCUUCUGGGAUAGCUUGCUUGAUAGUGUAUUUGUAGACUAUCAUUUCAGACUAUCAUUUCAUGUACUUUGAGCUAACUUCUCACCAGACAUGUCCAGCCUUCAUCAUUUGCUUUACCCACCCAUCAUUAGGUGGGUAAAGAGAGGUGGUAUAUUAGUGUGCUUUUCCUGAGCUAUGCCAUGGAGGCAAACAAUACCAAUGCUUACAGUGACCAUGGUUAUAAAUUAGGAAUCUGUACAACCUACCACAGUGGGAUAGAGAGGAGGAGAAAGCUAAAAAAGCAGAUUUUUGAGAGUAUUAUUAUAGGCUUGGUCUUGUUCAUUGCUUCUGGGCACUGCUGACCACAAUUUGCCUACAAGUCACAUUUAGUGAAUGCCCACUACAGACCAGGCACCAUGCUAACCACUCUAGAUGAAUUAGCUUAUCCUCACAAAAACCUAUGAAGUAGGUAUUAUUUAUAUCUUCACCAUUUUAUAGAUGGGUAGAUGGAGGUACAAAGGAACUUUGAGCUUGUGUGCUUUGUCAACAGUGGAGCCAGAAUUCAAAGGCUGGUGACAAAGUUCACACUCUUAACCACUCUGCUAGGCUGUUUGGGCUCUCUCAUUGGUUUGUCUCGGCUACCUGGCAUACA